UAAGGAAUAUUGCUCAAUGGCCGAAAGGCUGAAGCAGCAACGCCGCGUGAGGGACGAAGGGCUUAAGCUUGUAAACCUCUGUAACGGGGGAAAAAACUUCCAAUCUUUGGAAUAUGAUGGUACCCCGAAAGUAAGCGUCGGCUAACUACGUG
rnacentral:rRNA from 1 species